rnacentral:rRNA from 1 species
UUUUAUUAGAAAUUAUUAAUAAUAAAGUAUGAUCAAUGUAAAUUAAAUAGCCGCAAUUGUGCUAAGGUAGCAUAAUCAUUUGUCUUUUAAUUAAAGACUAGAACAAAAGAUUUAACAUUUUAAUAAAUAUUUUCAUAUUAUAAAUCUAAGUUAUUUUUAAUGUAAAAAAACAUUAAUUCAUAAAAAAGACGAUAAGACCCUAUUGAACUUUACUUUAGUUAAACUGGGGCAGUUAAUUAAUUAUUAUUUUAAUACUAAAUAAUAUAAUAAUCGACCUAAUAUAAUUAAUUUAAUGAUUAAGUUACCAUAGGGAUAACAGUGUAAUAUUAUUUUUAAGUUCUUAUUUAAAAUAAUGAUUGCAACCUCGAUGUUGACUUAAUUUCCUAAAUUACGCAAUAGUAAUAAUAGGAAGUCUGUUCGACUUUUAAACAAUUACAUGA